rnacentral:rRNA from 1 species
AGUGAACGCUGGCGGUAGGCCUAACACAUGCAAGUCGAACGGCAGCACAGUAAGAGCUUGCUCUUACGGGUGGCGAGUGGCGGACGGGUGAGGAAUACAUCGGACUCUACUUUUUCGUGGGGGAUAACGUAGGGGAACUUACGCUAAUACCGCAUACGCCCUACGGGUGAAAGCAGGGGAUCUUCGGACCUUGCGCGAUUGAAUGAGCCGAUGUCGGAUUAGCUAGUUGGCGGGGUAAAGGCCCACCACGGCGACGAUCCGUAGCUGGUCUGAGAGGAUGAUCAGCCACACUGGAACUGAGACACGGUCCAGACUCCUACGGGAGGCAGCAGUGGGGAAUAUUGGACAAUGGGCGCAAGCCUGAUCCAGCCAGACCGCGUGGGUGAAGAAGGCCUUCGGGUUGUAAAGCCCUUUUGUUGGGAAAGAAAAGCAGCAGGUUAAUACCCCGCUGUUCUGACGGUACCCAAAGAAUAAGCACCGGCUAACUUCGUG